GACGAACGCUGGCGGCGUGCCUUACGCAUGCAAGUCGGACGGGCGUCCCAUCCGGGGCGCGACCGUGGCGGACGGGUGCGGAACACGUACGUGACCUGCCCGGUAGUGGGGGAUAACCCCUCGAAAGGGGGGCUAAUACCGCAUGUGGUCCGCAAGCUGCGGCUUGCGGAGUAAAGCCCGUGAGGGCGCUACCGGAGGGGCGUGCGGCGGAUUAGCUUGUUGGUGGGGUAACGGCCCACCAAGGCGACGAUCCGUAGCUGGUCUGAGAGGACGGCCA
rnacentral:rRNA from 1 species